CGAACGGGUGAGUAAUAUAUCGGAACGUCGCCCAGUCGGUGGGGGAUAACGUAGCGAAAGCUACGCUAAUACCGCAUACGAUCUAUGGAUGAAAGCGGGGGAUCGCAAGACCUCGCGCGAUUGGAGCGGCCGAUAUCAGAUUAGGUAGUUGGUGAGGUAAAGGCUCACCAAGCCGACGAUCUGUAGCUGGUCUGAGAGGACGACCAGCCACACUGGGACUGAGACACGGCCCAGACUCCUACGGGAGGCAGCAGUGGGGAAUUUUGGACAAUGGGCGCAAGCCUGAUCCAGCAAUGCCGCGUGCAGGAUGAAGGCCUUCGGGUUGUAAACUGCUUUUGUACGGAACGAAACGGUGAGCUCUAAUACAGUUUGCUAAUGACGGUACCGUAAGAAUAAGCACCGGCUAACUACGUG
rnacentral:rRNA from 1 species